rnacentral:rRNA from 1 species
AGAGUUUGAUCCUGGCUCAGGAUGAACGCUGGCGGUAUGCCUAACACAUGCAAGUCGAACGGUGUCUUCGGACACAGUGGCGGACGGGUGAGUAACGCGUGAGAAUCUGCCUCUAGGUUGGGGACAACAGUUGGAAACGACUGCUAAUACCCGAUGUGCCGUAAGGUAAAAGAUUUAUUGCCUGGAGAGGAGCUCGCGUCUGAUUAGCUAGUUGGUGGGGUAAAAGCCUACCAAGGCAGCGAUCAGUAGCUGGUCUGAGAGGAUGAGCAGCCACACUGGGACUGAGACACGGCCCAGACUCCUACGGGAGGCAGCAGUGGGGAAUUUUCCGCAAUGGGCGAAAGCCUGACGGAGCAAUACCGCGUGAGGGAGGAAGGCCUUUGGGUUGUAAACCUCUUUUCUCAGGGAAGAAGAACUGACGGUACCUGAGGAAUAAGCAUCGGCUAACUCCGUGCCAGCAGCCGCGGUAAUACGGAGGAUGCAAGCGUUAUCCGGAAUCAUUGGGCGUAAAGCGUCCGCAGGUGGUUUUUCAAGUCUGCUGUUAAAGACUGGAGCUCAACUCCGGAAAGGCAGUGGAAACUGAGAAACUAGAGUUCGGUAGGGGUAGCGGGAAUUCCCAGUGUAGCGGUGAAAUGCGUAGAUAUUGGGAAGAACAUCGGUGGCGAAGGCGCGCUACUGGACCGAAACUGACACUCAGGGACGAAAGCUAGGGGAGCGAAAGGGAUUAGAUACCCCUUAGUCCGUUCUGUAAACGAUGAUUACUCGAUGAACCUUUAGGUUUGUCCAAGCGAAAGCAUUAAGUAAUCCACCUGGGGAGUACGCCCGCAAGGGUGAAACUAAAAGGAAUUGACGGGGGUCCGCACAAGCGGUGGAGUAUGUGGUUUAAUUCGUCAAUACGCGAGAAACCUUACCUGGACUAGAAUGCCCUUGACAGCCUAGGAAACUAGGUCUUCUUCGGACAAGGUGCAAGGUGCUGCAUGGUUGUCGUCAGCUCGUGCCGUGAGGUGUCGGGUUAAGUCCCUUAACGAGCGAAACCCCUGUGUUUAGUUGCCAGCACGUAAUGGUGGGGAAUCUAAACAGACUGCCUGCGUAAGCAGUGAGGAAGGUAGGGAUGAUGUCAAAUCCGCAUGGCCCUUAUGUCCAGGGCUACACACGUACUACAAUGGUGUAUACAAAGAGUUGCCAGCUGGUAACAGUGAGCUAAUCUCAUAAAGUACAUCUCAGUUCGGAUUGAGAUCUGCAACUCGAUCUCAUGAAGUUGGAAUCGCUAGUAAUCGUGUAUCAGAAUGUCACGGUGAAUACGUUCUCGGACCUUGUACACACCGCCCAUCAAGCCAUGGGAGUUGGGGGAGCUUGAAGGCAGUUUAUUAAAAAGCUGCUUAGAGUUAAAUCAGCGACUGGGGCUAAGUUGUAACAAGGUA